rnacentral:lncRNA from 1 species
GAUUGCUUCUGUCAACCUUUCUCUCACUUUCACCUGUUUUGAGGACUCCUCCCUACAAGGACAGUAAAUUCUUGUCAGAUUGCUUAUGUUUUCAGGCUUAGGUAAAUUCUCUAGAUCAGAAAUCAGACAACUUACAUUGGCACCUUUGGGCCACUAGGUGGAGACUGCGAACAGCCUCCAGGGUAGCUGCGGAUGUGCAGAAUCGGCAGCUGCGCAGUGGAGGAAAUGGAGGGUCCGAUGCUGGCAAGGCCUUUCUCCCUCAGGAUGAAAGCCGCUGAAGAAGAUACACUGUUUUUUCUUUGAAGAUUCUAAAAGAGAAGAAAAAAUUUACAGCAAAGAUCAACCCAAAGAUACAUGCAGAUUGGUUUCAGAAUCAGAAGGUCAUACUGAGGAAGCGAUGUUACCAAAUAAAUGCUGCACUAUCAGCCAACUCCUUUUCAAUUUCGGGGUGGAAUCUCCAGUCAUUUUCCAAGGUACCUGGGUCAGAUCCCCUUUCUCCACUACUUUCAGAAAUCAGGGAGCUUUCAUAUAUUCAUAAAAGAGUUAAACUGUUUCACCAAUAUUACUUUGUAGGAAAAUCCACAUUGCUGUUUCUAGAGAUUGUGGGGUUAUUAUUUAUGAUAUAAAAUUGUGUAAAUGUCCAAAAUAAUAUUAUACAUAUUAUUUUCAUUGCUCAGGAGAUCCUGCGCCUUCUCCAUGGUCUAUGCAUUCUUCUCUUAGAGUCUUUCUUCUUUCCUAGUUCCUUUGGUGAUGAGGAUUGUAGGCUGGUAAUCCUUUGCUCUAUGUCCAAAAUUCAUAUAUGAGUGAGUACAUACCAUGUUUGUCUUUUUGUACCUGGGUAACAGGAGGGAAUGGCGGAGCUGGAAGUUUGAGUCAGGGGAAGAAUAGAGGAGAGAGAGCAGGAUGAGAGAUCCAAUAACAGAGGGGGGCCUUUAUAGGUUCAAUGAGAGAUCUGGCACUAGAGAGAUUUCCAGAGAUCUACAAGGAUGACACCAACUGACAAUCUAGGCAGUGGUGGAGAGGCUACCCUAAAUGCCCUUCCCCUGUAAUGAGACUGAUGACUGCUUUAUAUGACAUCCUAGAGCCCUCAUCCAGUGGCUGAUGGAAGCAGAGGCAGACACCCACAGCUAAACACUGGACUGAACUCCUGGAAUCCGUUGCAGAGAGGAGGAGUGAAGAGCAAAGAGGUGAGGACCCAGCUGGUGAAACCCACAGAAACAGAUGACCUGAACAAGGGAGAGCACAUGGACCCAAGUCUGAUGUCUGGUAGGCCAGCACGGAACUGAUCCAGAACCCUGAAUGUGGAUGUCAAUGAAGAGGUCUUGGCACUCUAUGGGGCCCCUGGUAGAGGAUCAGUAUUUACCCCUUGUGUAUGUAGGAAGGGACUUUGGGAGCCCAUCCCACAUGGAA